rnacentral:piRNA from 1 species
UGAAUUCCCAGAAACUUUGUAAGUGUAGUC